CUGUGGUUUUGGACAAGAAUAUCUUUAAAGUUUUUCCUUUUGGUUGCCAUGGCAACCUGAGUUCUCUAUUGAAUUCAAUUCUUUGAAUAAUUUCUAAAGAAGACCAUCCAAGGAACAUCAUUGUGAAGUUUCAUCAGAAUUGGCCUGAUGGUUUUAGAGGAGAUGUUGUAUAAAGGAAAAUGUGGACGGACGCCGGACGCCGGACGGUGAACGAUUACAAUUGCUCACCCUAAGCCUUUGGCUCAGGUGAGCUAAUAAGUAAGGCAAGCCAUUUAGCAAUUGUAAUGCAUGUAAUAUUAGUACUUAUUAUUUGUCAUCACAUGAUAAUAUUAAAGAAUUUAUAGAUCAAUUGAAGGUUGUGGAUCAUGCCAAUUCAAACAUUUAGCUCGUAAUUGGUUUAAAAUUGAUAUUUCGCCAUAUCAUAAUGAAUCAUAUAUAGAAUAUGCAUUAGUCACUAAUUUAGUAUUACUUUUAGAAGCAAGUAUGUUAUUUGAUAUCGCAAAUUUAUAAAGUUCUCAUUUAUUAGUCUUUUUACAUACACAGUAAAAUUGUCUGACUGCGAAGCCCCGAGUCUUCAGUUCAAGCACCCUCUUAUCCAACUUAGAAAACAUUGGGAUAAGAGUCCCGUGUAUGGGUGUUUUACACGUGUCUCGUUAAAGAACCAGGGGAGCUUCUGGAAUAUUGGACCGUCUUCUGUCUUCUUAAUGCAAUUUGAAAGUAAACAUUUAUAAGAUUUAUAGAGCGCACUGUUCAUGAAGUUUAAAUAAACGUGCAUUUACAUUAUACCAUAAUUGUUGUGUAAAUAUCAUUUUUUUACCUAUUUAGCCAUUUUUUUCAGUAUGUUAAUUAAUUUCCUUUUUUUCCAUUUCAGAUAUACCAAAAGUGUUAAAGUGUAAAAGUCGUACUGUCUUAAAAUGAUCGUCAGGAUACUUUUUCUUGUAUGUUGCGCAUUUAAGAUCGUGUUACUAGCGGGGAAAUCUAGUGUUUUGGAUCAAUUAACACAACAUAUCAGUUACUCUUUAGUAUGGGAUAGAAAACAAAUACCUUUUAUCGUAAAAAUCCUCAUAAUUAUUACUGCUUAUGCGGCUGUCAUUAUAAUACUAAUAUCGGCCUUGAAGUUAUCAGUACAAACGUCAGAGAAACAUAGGCACACGGAAAGAAACAUAAUUGACAACUUAUAUAUGUCAUGGAGCAAAGACAGAAGUAUAUCGAAGUUACCUUGGUUACAUUUUUUUAGAGAGUUUGCAAGCAUACGGGUAAUGAAAUACUGGGCUUUACCCUUUUCACUUAUAGAAUAUCUUAACAAAUCCAAAAAAAACAAUAAAGAAGAAUUCAUGAAUUAUGAAUGGGGAAGAUAUGAAUCAUUUAAAGACUUUCCUUUGGGUUCUCCAGCAAUGCCCAUGCGGCUGGCUUCUAAUGGAUUCUUCUUUUUGGGUACUAAGGAUACAGUUAAAUGUUUUUCAUGCAAGUUGAAAUACAGCGGUUGGAAAGAAGGCGAUGAACCAGAUGCCCUUCAUAAAUUUUUGUCUCCGGACUGCGACUUUAUAAAAGGUAUCGACUCUACAAAUGUUCCGAUACAUUCAACAUCCGAAUCAAUAUUGAAUGGCUGUGAAUACUCUACGGAAGGAGCUGUGGGCGGUGCAAGUUAUACAAUAGAAAGUCACGAGAAAAGUUCCAAUUCUAAUUUACAAGUUCAACAGCAGUCAAGACAAUCACAUGUAUCUAACGAUGCAAUGUCUUCACGACACAUUAACCACAAAUUUCCAGAUUAUGAAAAUAGUCAACACAGAAUGGAUUCAUUUACUAAGUGGCCUUGUGCUGAUGUGAUAACUUCAAGGGUUCUAGUUGAAGCGGGAUUCUUUUAUGCUGGUUUCAGUGACUGCGUAAGAUGCUUCUCCUGUGGAGGCGGACUACGUAACUGGGAAUAUGGUGAUGGUCCGUGGGAAGAACAUGCAAGGUGGUUCCCAGGAUGUGCGUUUCUAAGGGAACAGAAAGGGCCAGAGUUCAUUAGACAACACAGGGAAGUACAGGCCGACACCGAUGCCGAGCAAGAUACAUCGUCGACUGCCAUCGUAUCAAGACAGCAGGCAUUAGAUACAGUUAAAGGAAAUAGUUUGUCCGAAAAUCCAAGCCGCCACGAAGAUGCAUCACCUACAAAGACAAGCAAUGAUAGCAGCAAAAGGACAACGGAAUCUCUUUCUACAGAAAAGUCAAUGUCAAUCAAAUCCAUAGAACAAAUACUUCUCCCGAUGGGUUUUUCUCAGGCAGAUAUAAGAAAAAGUCUUGAAAGAGCCGGCACAGAAGAUGCAAGAGAUUCAACUAUAACAAGAUUAAUAGAUGACCUCAUCGAACAUUCACAAGCAAAUGACAAAGAACAAGAAACAGAACAUACAGGCAAGACUUUAUCAACAGUUGUUCAGGAGCAUGUUGGUAACUUAGCGACUCUGAAAGUUCAACCCACAGCAGUAAAACAUUCCCUGGCUGAGCUAGAUUCAAAGGUUCUACAAGAAGAAAAUUCAAGGUUGAUCGAUCAGCUAACCUGUAAAAUCUGCAUGGAUAAAGAGUCGAAUGUAGUUUUCAUCCCAUGCGGUCACAUGGUUUCCUGUGAAACAUGCGCACCACACAUCCGGAAGUGUGCCAUCUGCAGACAACUGAUAAAGGGUCGUGUGAAAGCCUUUAUGUCUUGACUGACAAAAUAUGAAUGUCCAAGAAAUUAAGAAAAUAUUCAUAUUUUCUAAACAUGUGUCAAAUUUUCUUGAAUGGCAGCUUUACCAUAAUGUUUUAAUUAUUUGUUUUGUUUGAUUAUAGAUUUAAAUGUGUGAGAGUUUUUCAACUUCAUUUCAAAGAAGUAUAUUUAAUUGUGCAAAAUGUGACAGGUCCCUUUAAUGGUCAUAUUUCCUAUUUACUUAUACACAUAGCUUUUGUUCCAUGCACUGAAAUUAUGUUGAAAUACGUUUUGAUAUUAGCCAAGACAAAUAUUGUAUUAAACAGAUAUUCUAUUUUUCCACUGGUACAGUUUAAUUGUGACUUCUCUCUUUUUUUAUUGUUUUGAGUUUAUCAUUGAUUUUAAAAGUAUUUCUACUAUUAUAAAUACGGUCAAUCGAAUUGAAUCUAUUACUGACUCAUUUGCAAGCAACUGGCAAUUGACGUAUGGUAACAUUUGUUAUAGAGAACACCCGGACUUGUAAUCAAACUAAAGGUUUUCCAGACCAUACCAAGUAGAACUUUUAUCAAGAGCUAUAGACAACACAAACAUAAAUCAGGUAAAACGAUGAUUUAUACCUAAUGUUAAGUAAACAUAAAAUGUAUAGAUAGGUUAACUUUAAUUAUUCUGAACUAAAAGUUUGAUCAUUGCUAAAGUUCAGAAUGGUUUAGUAUGGUAAAUGGGUUCCUACUGAUUAAAUUACUCGAUUUGGAUCUUAAGAAUUACGAUAAAACACCCAAAAAUAUUGUUAGGUGAAGUAUAUGAAGCAUAUAGUUUAUUUUAUUUUUACAUUUUUAUACUCGUGGGAAACCAACCGAAAGGUCACGACACGUAGUAUUUUCAUACACAUGCUCUAUCAAUAGCUAAGAUAUUUCAAGUAAAACACUUUCAAUUGUUUUCCUGUAUUGGUAUAAAAGCUGCACGUCAGACAUUUCUUCCUCAGACAAAUGCCAUAUAUCAAAGUCCUUUAUUCAUAGAUGCACUUUUUGACUUCAACCGUCAGAAACGUCGUAACUUUUUAAACGUAACCCUAUUAUUUAUUAUUAUCACUUAAUGUUUUUUCUUACGAAAAUAAUAUCUUCCCGACAACAACAUGGUCUAUCGCGGUAUUUUAUAUCUUACGUUAGAAAAAUUAUUGACAAUGAAAGACAACGGCGGAGUUUGAAAUACAUACUUGCGAAUUAUCUAGAAAGAGUAACAGGAAAUUACUGAAUUUUUAUCUUCUUUUAUACUAUUGUCAUAGAAUAUACUAGUCGCAGAGAGUAUUCAUCACAGAGACAUGAUUUCUGUUUAUUGUAACUUGUUUAGAAUUUGUUUAUUUCUUAUUAUUAUGUCUCCCACCACAUAGUGGUGUGGGAGACAUAUUGAUUUACUCCAGUCUCUGUGUGUGUGUGUGUGUGUGUCUGUCACAAAGCUUGUCCGCACUCUAAGUCGAACA
rnacentral:misc_RNA from 1 species